rnacentral:rRNA from 1 species
AUGGAGCCCGGCCGCGAGCCUACCGGCACGAUCGUGUUCGCCUCCGUCGGGGUCACCAGCUUCGGCUUCGACGUCUUCUCCGUCGCCGCCCCGCAGACUCCCGAGAGCGCAUCCGCCGCGGGGCUGGCGGAGCGCCGCCACACGGACGGCGUGUCCGUCAACUUCAACGCCCAGUUCAAGGACGACGGCGGCGAGGAGGUGGCGUUCGUGUCCGAGCGCACCGGCUCGGCGGGCCUGUUCCUGUGCCGCCCCGGGUCCGAGCGCGCCGUGCCGCUGCCGGCCGUGGAGGGGAGCCUGUUCCACGACCGCCCCACCGUGAGGGGCGGCCGGCUGUACUUCGUCUCCGCGCACGAGAAGCCGGAUGGGUGGUUCAGGAGCUGGGCGGCGGUGUACACGACGGACCUUGGCAGCGAGGAGACGGUGCGGGUGACGCCUCGGGGCGUGGCGGACAUGAGCCCCGCAGUGUCCGCGUCCGGCGAGCUCCUCGCCGUCGCCUCGUACGGCGAGAGGCCGUGGGCGUUCGACUUCCACGUGCUCGAGACGGAGGUCGCCGUCUUCCGUGCCGCCGACCCCGCCCGCCGCGUCGUCCUCGCUGCUCGGGGCGGCUGGCCGACCUGGCACGGGGAGGGCACGGUGUUCUUCCACCGCGUCGCCGAUGACGGCUGGUGGAGCGUCUUCCGGGUGGACAUCUCGCCGGAGACCCUCGAGCCCUGCAGCGCCGAGAUGCGCGUGACGCCUCCGGGCGUGCACUGCUUCACCCCUGCCGCAGCGGGCCGUGGCUGCCGUUGGAUUGCAGUGGCGACGCGGCGGAAGGGGCGGGCGCACCGCCACAUCGAGCUGUUCGACCUUGAGACGGAGCAAUUCACCUCGGUUACCUCUCUCCUUAACCCGGAGCUGCACCAUUACAACCCCUUCUUCUCGCCGUCCGGCGAGCGCCUCGGGUACCACCGCUUCCGCGGCGCGGGCGCGCCGGGCGACUCGCUGAUUCCCUACCGGCAGCCGGUGCGCAGCCCGGUGAGCUCCAUCCGCAUGCUCCGCGUGCACGGCUCCUUCCCGUCCUUCUCGCCGGACGCGAAGUACUUCGCCCUCAACGGCGACUUCUUCAAGUCGCCCGGAGUGACCAUCCUCCGCGCCGACGGCUCCAAGCGAUGGGUGCUCGCCAAGCAGCCCAACCUGUUCUACACCUCGUGGAGCCCCACCGAGAGCGGGGUCGUGUUCACCUCCGCUGGCCCGAUCUUUGAGACCCCGAAAGCGACGGUCCGGGUGGCGCGCAUCGAGUUCGACCCGAGCGAGCUCACCGACGACCGCGGCGACGUCUACGUGGCCGUGAAGGAGCUGACCCGUCCGGAGGCCGGCAACGACGCGUUCCCGGCGGUGUCGCCGUGCGGGCGGUGGGUGGUGUUCCGGUCCGGCCGGUCGGGCCACAAGAACCUCUACAUCGUCGACGCGGCGCGCGGGGAGGAGACCAUACGGAGGGUCACCGAGGGCGAGUGGAUCGACACGAUGCCGAGCUGGUCGCCGGACGGGGAGCUGAUCGCGUUCUCCUCCAACCGGCACGAGCCGGCCAACGCCGCCGUGUUCAGCAUCUACCUGGUGCGGGCGGACGGGACAGGGCUGCGGCGGGUGCACGUGGCCGGGCCGCCGGGGAGUGCGGAGGCGGACAAGGAGCGGAUCAACCACGUGUGCUUCAGCCCGGACGGCGAGUGGCUGCUCUUCACGGCGAACCUCGGCGGCGUCGUGGCCGAGCCCAUCUCGGGGCCGAACCAGUUCCAGCCGUACGGCGACCUGUACGUGUGCCGGCUCGACGGGUCCGGUGUGCGCAGGCUCACCUGCAACGCCUACGAGAACGGCACGCCGACGUGGGGCCCGCCGCUGGGCGUGGAGUCGCUGUCGCUGGGCGCCCCCGCCGCGGACGAUUCGCUGGGCGAGUUCGACGAGCCGCUGUGGCUGUCCUGCGACGUGUGA